rnacentral:rRNA from 1 species
UCUCAGUUCGGAUUGGAGUCUGCAACCCGACUCCAUGAAGCUGGAUUCGCUAGUAAUCGCGCAUCAGCCACGGCGCGGUGAAUACGUUCCCGGGCCUUGUACACACCGCCCGUCAAGCCAUGGAAGCCGGGAGUGCCUGAAGUACGCGACCGCAAGGAGCGUCCUAAGGUAAAACCGGUGACUGGGGCUAAGUCGUAACAAGGUAUC